UAUUCCUCUUUUACUAUCUCUUCUCCUCACAUGAAUGGUUUCUAUUGGAAAAGGUUUUUAGCACAAUUUUUGGAUUUUUGCCUCUAACAUUAUAUAGGACACAUGGUGAUUCUAUUUGAGUUACUCGUGGUAUAUUUGGUGUAACCAAGAAGGUUGGGAUUCGAACUCGUGACCUUGUGGUUACAAGUUUUAUCCUUAGCCAUUUUGGCAGGGGUUAACCCCAAUGUUUUAUCUGUUGUUUCUAUGGAGUAAUGUCUUUUCAUCAAAUAUCUACUGAAAUUCGAAACAUAUAAUAGUUAUUAUUAGAAAUGUGGCUUCAUAUUAUACUUAGAGAAUGAAUCAACUUCAUAAUCUGAAA